rnacentral:rRNA from 1 species
CUUAUUUGGUGGCGAGCGGCGGACGGCUGAGUAACGCGUGGGAACAUGCCCCAAAGUGAGGAAUAACUGCCCGAAAGGGUAGCUAAUACCGCAUAUGAUCUUCGGAUUAAAGGAUUUAUCCGCUUUGGGAGGGGCCUGCGUCCGACUAGCUCGUUGGCGGGGUAACGGCCCACCAAGGCGAAGAUCGGUAGCCGGCCUGAGAGGGCGCACGGCCACACUGGAACUGAAACACGGUCCAG